rnacentral:rRNA from 1 species
UACCUGGUUGGCGAGGCCCUGGCUCACCAUGGCGACUAUCAGUAGCUGGCCUGAGAGGAUGAUCAGCCACAUUGGGACUGACACACGGCCCAAACUCCUACGGGAGGCAGCAGUGGGGAAUAUUGGACAAUGGGCGCAAGCCUGAUCCAGCCAUGCCGCGUGAGUGAUGAAGGCCCUAGGGUUGUAAAGUUCUUUUGUGCGGGAAGAUAAGGACGGUACCGCAAGAAUAAGCCCCGGCUAACUUCGUGCCAGCAGCCGCGGUAAUACGAAGGGGGCUAGCGUUGCUCGGAAUCACUGGGCGUAAAGGGUGCGUAGGCGGGUCUUUAAGUCAGGGGUGAAAUCCUGGAGCUCAACUCCAGAACUGCCUUUGAUACUGAGGAUCUUGAGUUCGGGAGAGGUGAGUGGAACUGCGAGUGUAGAGGUGAAAUUCGUAGAUAUUCGCAAGAACACCGGUGGCGAAGGCGGCUCACUGGCCCCAUACUGACGCUGAGGCACGAAAGCCUGCUUAGCAAAACGGGAUUAUAGACCCUGU